UACGAAGGGGGCUAGCGUUGCUCGGAAUCACUGGGCGUAAAGGGUGCGUAGGCGGCUUUGUAAGUCAGGAGUUAAAGUUUGCGGCUCAACCGUAAAAUUGCUUCUGAUACUGCAUGGCUAGAAUUAGGAUGAGGUCAGCGGAAUGUGGCAUGUAGCGGUGAAAUGCAUAGAUAUGCCAUAGAACACCAAUUGCGAAGGCAGCUGACUAGACCUGGAUUGACGCUGAGGCACGAAAGCGUGGGGAGCGAACAGG
rnacentral:rRNA from 1 species